CGGGUGAGUAAUACAUCGGAACGUGUCUUCUAGUGGGGGAUAACUGCCCGAAAGGGCAGCUAAUACCGCAUGAGACCUGAGGGUGAAAGCGGGGGAUCGCAAGACCUCGCGCUGGAAGAGCGGCCGAUGUCCGAUUAGCUAGUUGGUGAGGUAAAGGCUCACCAAGGCGACGAUCGGUAGCUGGUCUGAGAGGACGACCAGCCACACUGGGACUGAGCACGGCCCAG
rnacentral:rRNA from 1 species